GACGAACGCUGGCGGCGUGCUUAACACAUGCAAGUCGAGCGGUAAGGCCCUUUCGGGGGUACGACGAGCGGCGAACGGGUGAGUAACACGUGGGUGACCUGCCCUCAGCUCUGGGAUAAGCCUGGGAAACUGGGUCUAAUACCGGAUAUGACUCCAUGACGCAUGUUGUGGGGUGGAAAGCCUUGUGCGGCUGAGGAUGGGCCCGCGGCCUAUCAGCUUGUUGGUGGGGUGANGGCCUACCAAGGCGACGACGGGUAGCCGGCCUGAGAGGGCGACCGGCCACACUGGGACUGAGACACGGCCCAGACUCCUACGGGAGGGCAGCAGUGGGGAAUCGUUGCGCAAUGGGGCGAAAGCCCUGACGCAGCGACGCCGCGUGAGGGA
rnacentral:rRNA from 1 species